rnacentral:rRNA from 1 species
CGGACGGUAGCUUACACAUGCAGUCGAACGGACCGUAUACGCAGCUUGCUGCGUGUAUGGUUAGUGGCAGACGGGUGAGUAAUGCAUAGGAAUCUACCUAGUAGUAUGGGAUAGCCACUAGAAAUGGUGGGUAAUACUGUAUAAUCCCUGCGGGGGAAAGAUUUAUCGCUAUUAGAUGAGCCUAUGUCAGAUUAGCUAGUUGGUGGGGUAAUGGCCUACCAAGGCGGUGAUCUGUAGCUGGUCUGAGAGGAUGAUCAGCCACACUGGAACUGAGACACGGUCCAGACUCCUACGGGAGGCAGCAGUGGGGAAUAUUGGACAAUGGGCGCAAGCCUGAUCCAGCUAUGCCGCGUGAGUGAGGAAGGCCUUAGGGUUGUAAAACUCUUUCAGUAGGGAAGAUAAUGACGGUACCUACAGAAAAAGUCCGGCUAAAAACUCGAAAAA